GUGGGGAAUAUUGGACAAUGGGCGAAAGCCUGAUCCAGCCAUGCCGCGUGUGUGAAGAAGGUCUUCGGAUUGUAAAGCACUUUAAGUUGGGAGGAAGGGCAGUAAGUUAAUACCUUGCUGUUUUGACAUUACCGACAGAAUAAGCACCGGCUAACUUCGUGCCAGCAGCCGCGGUAAUACGAAGGGUGCAAGCGUUAAUCGGAAUUACUGGGCGUAAAGCGCGCGUAGGUGGUUUUGUAAGUUGGAGGUGAAAUCCCCGGGCUCAACCUGGGAACUGCCUCCAAAACUGCAUGACUAGAGUACGGUAGAGGGUAGUGGAAUUUCCUGUGUAGCGGUGAAAUGCGUAGAUAUAGGAAGGAACACCAGUGGCGAAGGCGACUACCUGGACUGAUACUGACACUGAGGUGCGAAAGCGUGGGGAGCAAACAGGAUUAGAAACCCGUGUAGUCC
rnacentral:rRNA from 1 species